rnacentral:rRNA from 1 species
AGUUUUAUUCUUGCUAAAAUAUUUAUUGUGAAGAAGAAUUAUAUGCAAUUUAUUGGAAAUUAUUAAGUCUGAAUGGUUUAAUAACAUUAUUUGCAGUAAAUAAUAUUAAUAAUUAAGGAAACUUUGAGUUAGUUAUCUUUAUUAAGUAUUGAUAAAAUAUGUGCCAGCAGUCGCGGUUAAACAUAAGAUAUUAGUAAAUGUUAUUAGUUAAUUAGUUAUUAUAAUCAUUAUAUAAUUUAUUUUAAUUACUUUUAGGUGAAAUUUAAUUUUUUUUUAUGAAUUAUAAUUGAUAUUAAGAGGCUAUGAAAUCUAAUUAUUUAGACUAGGAUUAGAUACCCUAUUAUUUUGGAUUUAAAUUUUUAACUUGAGUAGUAUUAGUUAUGAUCUUGAAACUUAAAGAAUUUGGCGGUAUUUUAGUCUAUUUAGAGGAAUCUGUCCCAUUAUCGAUAAUCCGCGUUGGACCUUACUUAAUUUUAUGAUAUGUAUACCGCCGUUUAGUUGAAAAUCUUAUUAGGGUAAAUUUUCUGAAUAUUUUAAUUUAUUAUAUUUCAGGUCAAGGUGCAGUUUUAAUAAUUAAGAGGAGAUGGAUUACAAUAUAUUUAUAUACGGAAUAUAAUUUGUAAUAGUUUAUAUAAAGGUGGAUUUAAUAGUAAUUUUAAUAAGAUUAUUAAGAUAAUUUAAGCUCUAGGAUGUGUACACAUCGCCCGUCGCUCUCGUAAAUUAAGGUGAGAUAAGUCGUAACAAAGUAGGUGUACCGGAAGGUGUAGCUAGAAUGAU